AGAAAAGAGCAACACAUCUAUCUAUACACUCUUCUGUUUGUUUCUAACUGAUGAAUAUGAACAAUGAACACUUCUUCAAGAAAUUUUAGGUGAGGUUGGUUGAAUUGAUACUGAAGAUGGUAGUUGAAAGUAUCAUGGAUCAAACAUUAUGGGGUUUCAUUGCUUGUGGAACCUCAAGUUUUAUAUGUUGAGCCAUUUAGGAGAUUGACCGAUUGAUUUCGGAUUGUUGAUUUUCGUUGCGCCUCUAUAUGUCGAUGUUGAAGUUCAAGGAAAUUGGGAUUUAGGUAGUAUUGUAGCAGAUGAAGGAAGAGCAAAGCUUUGACUUGCUGAGCAUUUGUCGCUGAACAGUACAUCUGAAAAGGCACUAGCUUCAAAUCUGAUGCUCAAGCAAAUUGGAAGUAGUGAGAAACAUAAAGAAAUCGUCAACUCUAGUAGAGCACAUGCAAUGGUGUAAGCUAUGGGUGAUGGAAAAUAUGCAGUGAGGAUUGACACCGGCUAUCCAUUACGUCGCCAGGCCAUCAGGGUGAGUUUUGCUUAUGUUGGAAGAAUGGUUUUGUAAUAUUUUGAGUCAAAAGUUAAGUGGGACCCACAGAACUUUUAACGUGGGUAUAAGUGGUGAUGUAUUUGUCUCCAUAUGUAGAUUCACAUGUAUUUCCUUAAUCAAAAUCAUUGAUGGCUAAAUAAGAAA